GACCAAACUCGAGCAGCGAUUCGUCGGAGGGAGAAAUAACAUCUCGAUGUCGGGCAGAAACAUCUAGGCCUACAGAGAGGAGUCGCGCUCCGCAGGAGGAUCCCGCCCCUGUACCACAAAUGGGCGGGAUGAAUUGCCCGUGCCUGCCUUCGCAGGAAGUAAUGUUACGCGCAGCCUUUCAUGACUACAACAGGCAACAUUUGUUAGCCAUCUUAGCCUAUUUCGUUUCUAUCGUGAAACGAAAUUUAACGGAGAAUGAACGAGAAAGAAGAGGUGGAAGAUGAAUGUGGUAGAGAUGUGAUUGAGAGAGAAGGAAGAGGAGAAAGAUGAAUGUGGUGAAGAAGUGAAAUGUAAUAAUAGUGAAAUAAUAGUAAAUAGGGAAUGAUAGUAAAUAAAAGUUUAUGUUAAAAAA
rnacentral:lncRNA from 1 species